rnacentral:rRNA from 1 species
AGCAGCCGCGGUAAUUCCAGCUCCAAUAGCGUAUAUUAAAGUUGUUGCAGUUAAAAAGCUCGUAGUUGAAUUUCGGGAUCAGUUCGUCGGUCGUGCCUUUGGUAUGUACUGGUGUUACUGGUUCCUCCCUUCUGACGAACCGUCAUGUCAUUAAUUUGGUGUGGCGGGAAAUCAGGACUGUUACUUUGAAAAAAUUAGAGUGUUUAAAGCAGGCUCGCGCUUGAAUACAUUAGCAUGGAAUAAUGAAAUAGGACGUUCGAUCCUAUUUUGUUGGUUUCUAGGAUUGACGUAAUGAUUAAUAGGGAUAGUUGGGGGCAUUAGUAUUCAAUUGUCAGAGGUGAAAUUCUUGGAUUUAUUGAAGACUAACUACUGCGAAAGCAUUUGCCAAGGAUGUUUUCAUUAAUCAAGAACGAAAGUUAGGGGAUCGAAGACGAUCAGAUACCGUCGUAGUCUUAACCAUAAACUAUGCCGACUAGGGAUCGGAUGAUGUUAAUUUUUUUAAUGACUCA